rnacentral:rRNA from 1 species
GCUUGUCUCAAAGAUUAAGCCAUGCAUGUCUAAGUAUAAACAACAUUGUACUGUGAAACUGCGAAUGGCUCAUUAAAUCAGUUGUAGUCUACUCGAUAGUACCUUACUACUUGGAUAACCGUAGUAAUUCUAGAGCUAAUACAUGCAUGAAUACCCAACUGCUUGUCGGGCGGGUAGCAUUUAUUAGAUUGAAACCAAUGCAGCUUCGGCUGGUAUUGUGUUGAAUCAUAAUAACUGUGCGGAUCGUACUUUGUGCGAUAAAUCGAUUGAGUUUCUGCCCUAUCAGCUUUGGAUGGUAGGAUAUGGGCCUACCAUGGCAUUAACGGGUAACGGGGAAUUAGGGUUUGAUUCCGGAGAGGGAGCCUUAAAAACGGCUACCACAUCCAAGGAAGGCAGCAGG